UACGUAGGUCCCGAGCGUUGUCCGGAUUUAUUGGGCGUAAAGCGAGCGCAGGUGGUUUAUUAAGUCUGGUGUAAAAAGCAGUGGCUCAACCGUUGUAUGCAUUAGAAACUGGUAGACUUGAGUGCAGGAGAGGAGAGUGGAAUUCCAUGUGUAACGGUGAAAUGCGUAGAUAUAUAGGGGAACACCGGUGGCGAAAGCGGCUCUCUGGCCUGUAACUGACACUGAGGCUCGAAAGCGUGGGGAGCAAACAGG
rnacentral:rRNA from 1 species